CCCCAACAGCUUGAGGGCCAGUGUCACUGUGAUAGGCUUUCUGCAGAUGUAGAGGAUAGAAGCAGAUGAAAACAUAGCUGCACUUGGAAUUGAAUUAAUCAGAGACUUCAGAACUUGCUCUAUUCAUCCUUUCAUUCACUCAGUCCUUCCACCAAGAUUUAUUGAGCACCCACUGCCUCCUAGACGCUUGGAGAUGAAAAAAAAAAGGGUGGCAGCCCAGAGGGACUCCAGCAGCACAGGGCCCAGUCACUAGCCAGAGGAGAUUCACCAACACUGGCGGGAUUGACCUUUGAUUUUGAAGGCACCAUCUCCAAGGCAGAGACAAAUGGACCUUGACUGCAAGAGGCUAUUUUGG